UUGGAGCUUUAGCUCACCUCUUUGGUGUUGUUCUUGUAUUCAUCUGAUUAAUCUAGUUCUUGCCAGUUCUUCUUGAACUUCUUGGUAGAUAUCAAGUCUGUAUUCUAUGUCCGUGACAGAUGAAGAUCCUUAUUUCUACCUUCAUCCAACCAUGCCUUGGUUUCAUCCCUCUCAAUUAACCACCUAUUAGUUUAAAUCUUCAUCUUUAGGCUUCUACCUUCUCCCAAGGCUUCAUACUAAAUAUUUAGG
rnacentral:lncRNA from 1 species